rnacentral:rRNA from 1 species
UACGUAGGGUGCAAGCGUUGUCCGGAAUUAUUGGGCGUAAAGAGCUCGUAGGCGGUCUGUCACGUCGGCUGUGAAAACCCGAGGCUCAACCCCGGGCCUGCAGUCGAUACGGGCAGACUAGAGUGCGGUAGGGGAGACUGGAAUUCCUGGUGUAGCGGUGAAAUGCGCAGAUAUCGGGAGGAACACCGGUGGCGAAGGCGGUUCUCUGGGCCUGUACUGACGCUGAGGAGCGAAAGCGUGGGGAGCAAACAGG